rfam:Schistosoma haematobium scaffold756_5, whole genome shotgun sequence.
AUCCAGCUGACGAGUCCCAAAUAGGACGAAACACAUCCUGGAU